rnacentral:rRNA from 1 species
GACGAACGCUGGCGGCGUGCUUAACACAUGCAAGUCGAACGGAAAGGCCCCCUUGUGGGGUACUCGAGUGGCGAACGGGUGAGUAACACGUGAGUAACCUACCCUUUACUUUGGGAUAACUUCAGGAAACUGGGGCUAAUACCGUAUAGGAGCUCCUGCUGCAUGGUGGGGGUUGGAAAGUUUCGGCGGUUGGGGAUGGACUCGCGGCUUAUCAGCUUGUUGGUGGGGUAGUGGCUCACCAAGGCUUUGACGGGUAGCCGGCCUGAGAGGGUGACCGGCCACAUUGGGACUGAGAUACGGCCCAGACUCCUACGGGAGGCAGCAGUGGGGAAUAUUGCACAAUGGGCGGAAGCCUGAUGCAGCAACGCCGCGUGCGGGAUGACGGCCUCCGGGUUGUAAACCGCUUUCGCCUGUGACGAAGCGUGAGUGACGGUAAUGGGUAAAGAAGCACCGGCUAACUACGUG